rnacentral:rRNA from 1 species
CCUACGGGUGGCAGCAGUGAGGAAUAUUGGUCAAUGGACGGAAGUCUGAACCAGCCAUGCCGCGUGCAGGAAGACGGCUCUAUGAGUUGUAAACUGCUUUUGUACAAGAGUAAACCUUACUACGUGUGUUCAGCUGAAAGUACUAUACGAAUAAGGAUCGGCUAACUCCGUGCCAGCAGCCGCGGUAAUACGGAGGAUCCAAGCGUUAUCCGGAUUUAUUGGGUUUAAAGGGUGCGUAGGCGGAUUGAUAAGUUAGAUGUGAAAUGUUCGGGCUUAACUCGGGAACUGCCUUUAAUACUGUUAAUCUAGAGAGUAGAAGCGGUAGGCGGAAUGUAUGGUGUAGCGGUGAAAUGCUUAGAGAUCAUGAAGAACACCGAUUGCGAAGGCAGCUUACCAGUCUAUAUCUGACGUUGAGGCACGAAAGCGUGGGGAGCAAACAGGAUUAGAUACCCGAGUAGUC